rnacentral:rRNA from 1 species
AUGGGCGCAAGCCUGAUGCAGCCAUGCCGCGUGAGUGAAGAAGGCCUUCGGGUUGUAAAGCUCUUUCAGCCGGGAAGAAAAGGCUUGAGCUAAUACCUUGUGUGGUUGACGGUACCGGCAGAAGAAGCACCGGCUAACUACGUGCCAGCAGCCGCGGUAAUAA